rnacentral:rRNA from 1 species
AGUGAACGCUGGCGGUAGGCCUAACACAUGCAAGUCGAACGGCAGCACAGUAAGAGCUUGCUCUUACGGGUGGCGAGUGGCGGACGGGUGAGGAAUACAUCGGAAUCUACUUUUUCGUGGGGGAUAACGGAGGGAAACUUACGCUAAUACCGCAUACGACCUACGGGUGAAAGCAGGGGAUCUUCGGACCUUGCGCGAUUGAAUGAGCCGAUGUCGGAUUAGCUAGUUGGCGGGGUAAAGGCCCACCAAGGCGACGAUCCGUAGCUGGUCUGAGAGGAUGAUCAGCCACACUGGAACUGAGACACGGUCCAGCAUCCUACGGGAGGCAGCAGUGGAGAAUAUUGGACAAGGGGCGGAAGCCUGAUCCAGCCAUACCGCGUGGGUGAAGAAGGCCUUCGGGUUGUAAAGCCAUUUUGUUGGGAAAGAAAAGCAGCAGGUUAAUACCCCGCUGUUCUGACGGUACCCAAAGAAUAAGCACCGGCUAACUUCGU